UUAAAGUCUCUAUUAUUUUCCAAUGCACAUCAAUGGGAGCAUUUGCUAUAAGAAUAACUACAUGAAUAACUCUCCUCAUUCUCCAAUUUUCUUUUUCCAUUAAAUUUAUUCCCCUUCAACCUUUGGAUGAGCGACUGUUUUUUUCAAUUUUAUUUUUAGGGUUGUAUUUUCUUCUUCCUGUUUAUUGAUUUUUCCUAAAUAGUGUUGUUGUUCUCUUUAGAUUCGCACAUUCAGUCCAGGGAUCUGAACGAGAGGGUUGGAGAAAUCAGAUUCGCUUAUGCAAGAAAAAAGAGGGAGGAAGAGAUGGCUAAAGAGAAGGAGCAGAAUAAUUUAUUCAAAGUUGUUGUCAGUCAGCUUAAAGUUCCAACUGGUUAUUAUUUCACUGUGUAAUAUUUUUUGGGAUUAUAGUUAAUGGGUUUCUGUUAUUCAGAUACAAUGGAGAAAUGGGAUGCAGAAAGUAUUGGAGGCGAAGCAAAAUAAUCAGAAUAAAUCGAAAGGAGUAUAAUCAGAACAAAUCAAAAGGAGUAUAAUCAAAACAAAUCAAAAUGAGUAUAAUUAGAACAAAUCAACUGACAUCUUAGUUUAAGUUGGUUUUUUACAGUUUAUGUUACAAAUGAUGAAUGGUCCUAAAUGACAAAUACAGGGAUUUCCAUGUGUGAGCCGAAUGUUGCUUAACAAUGAAUCUUAUUGCGCCCACUGUGGAGAAGGGGAUGAGAUGUUUUUUUUUAAUGUUUUGUCAUACUUUUGUUUUCAGGGGCAUAGUCAGGGAAAAAAAAGAAACUAAUAUAUAAUAAUUUG